rnacentral:lncRNA from 1 species
CUCCAUUUUUUAGCUAAGAGAUUGAGAGAGUCGGUUUACUUUUGGGCUUGGAGUAUCAUUUAGAUCUGUUAACAGUACAGUUGAGAGAGUUGGUGUCUUUUGUUGAGGUGCGAGGACCCGAGGCGGCGACCCUCGCCUUUAUUCGGAGAAGCCCACUUCCACCCACAGAGUUGGGGUAGUCCUCCGAAAUGCAUUUUUGUUUUGCCGUUUGUUUUCCAACCCCCUUUCACUCUCCCCAAAGCUUCAGAUUCACUGAUUUUUCAUACAGGAAUGAUUAACAAAGGCGUCCGAAGAAAUCGUUGUUGGAAGGUGGCCAAAGUGGAAAGAGAGGUUGCUUUGGCCCUGCAAGUAAGAAGAGAGAAGGAAUAGCCUGAAGGAGUAACACUAAAUUUAAAAUGACACUUUUUUACCAACCAGCGAAAGCAGAUGUUCAAAGGGGAUAUUGGCCAGAGUCUGUCACACUAAGAUGAGAAAUAUCCUUUCUUCCUGAAGGUGUCUGAUGUGUAAAAAUACUGAUAUACUUUGUGCUGUUUCCUCCCUUCCCUUUUGCACAUUAUUCUGAAACAACAUUAACUAGUUACUUUGCGUCAUUGAAGGUAUGCACUUCCCCUCUAUGUUAGGAGUGAAUAAAAUUAAAAAUAGAUCCUUAUAGCAAAGAAAGGCAGAUAGAAUGAUUAAAAAUGACCAAAACAUGUUAGAAACAGUCUCUCAGGUGUAUGCAGAUGGUAAUUACAAAAAUACUUUUUCGAAAAAUGAUCUUCUGUGUCAUGUUUCUGGGAACAAGUCAAGAUGAAUGAGUUUGAUUUUUAAGCAGAAGUAGUAUGUGUUGGUGUCAUCCAUGAAUACACCAGUGAAAAAGCCUCAAAGUUGUUGUUAUUCAGAAACUUCUCUAAGUAAUGGUGGUAAGUACAGGAAAAGGAACAAUGUCUACCAUUUUCUUUCUAACCUUCGAUUUAACUAUUGUAAUGUUGUAAGCUUAACAGAGAUUUACACUUAGGCUUAAUUUCAAGCUCUUCAAUCAUUUUUCCCGGUUGGUGAUUCAGGUGUAUUCUCAUGUCUUAUGUAAACUUAUCAUGAGUCUUGUUGAUUUAUAAUAUAUUUCUUUAUAUAAGCCAUA